rnacentral:lncRNA from 1 species
AAAGAAAAUGUCAAGGGAAGAAUAUAAUCAUAUGUACCCCCAAUCUUCAUGUAAAAAGCUAUAAUUUAUCAUCUUUAUCUAUUACCCAGUCCACCCAUCUGCUCGCAACCCAGACGUACACAGUGGAGCAGGAGCCUGGCUUUUGAGUCCAUGGGCAGCUCACAGAAUGCUCAGAGGAGGCCACAGAGGAGAGUGCAAACAACCAGGCCUGCUCUGGGACAGGAGCUGGGUGAACGCUUGUCACAGCUGCAGAGUGAAGGACCUGCCAUGGCUCUGGGGAUGCUGAAGGAGCUCACGAAGUCCUCAUGUGAUGCUGGGGGGGCUGUCAUCUACACAAUGGAUGAGCAAGGAGGGUGGCAGAGCAGGCGGACCUCUGCCAACAGGAGGAAUGCCUCUGCAGACCCGCCCAGACUUCUGGGCCAUCCCCGUGGGCUGCAGCAGGAACUCGUGGCUGUGCCCAUGGCCUCCGAACAGAGCCCUUCAGCGUAGGACAGUGCUGGGCCGAGUGAUGGGACAUCACGGGCACCUGAUGUUAUGCAUCCGAGCUUCGUGUGGGAGGAGCACCCUCUCCAUGCAGCAGAAUGGCGCGCCUAGGGUGGAAGCCUCUGGGGCACUGAAGCCCCAGUAAGUCCUGCAACUCUGAUGAGGCUGCAGUGUCUUCCGUUUAUCCACAGGCACGACCACCCUUGUGUCUCGCUGCAGUUGCCAGCCCCACCAUUACCAUCUCACUCCCCCUGCCUGUGGCUCCUGGUCUGCCUGGGGACUGUCCAGAAACAGAGUGGCUGCAGAGCCACUGACACAUUCUCACAGUCCUGUCCAGCUCCUGCUGGCUGGGAUGGCUCUAAUGUUUGGGUCCACAUGUGAUCAGUCCCAGCCAUACAAGUACACCAUGUCGUAGGCUCUAGCCUUCUAAGAUUAUUGACUAACAGGGAUCCAUAGUGGGAUGAAACAUUUACAAAAUGACACAGUGUUUCUGCACUAUGAACGAACAAUACAACUUAUGCUGGAACAGGGGAAGAUGAGAUUUAUUCCCCAAGUAUCAAUGCUAUUUACAACUCCCUUCUAUUUCUCUGCCUCGCUGGCUUCCAGUUUUCCUUUCCUUUCUAGGUUAUACAUGCUUCAAUAAAGGAAAUAAUGUGGGCCCUGCUCUCCCAGUGUCAAACCUAGUACUAUUUUCAACUAAGAAUAAUUCAAUUUUUUUAAAAAAGAGGGGCACUGAGAUCUACAUAGAUAAUUCAUUCCUUUACAUCCUACUUUUCUAUAUAGCUUGGAAAAAGAAUACAUUUUGCUUGCCUACACACAUGUAUAUUUAAAAUAUUUAGCUAGGGCACUGUCUGCAGCCUUCUAGCUGGUUUCCAUGGUAGCUAAGGAUGGACAGAAUAAAAUGGCAUUUAACAAACAAAAUAAAACAACAGAAAGAUAUCUGCUUUCUUAAACAAAUAGUACACAGGAGACAUUUAAAUAAAGGCCUGCAUGAGUCUGGUUUUCAGGUGCCGGGUGGGCCUCUCCACACACCCCACGCCUCGGGGAGCUAAGUGCCUUCUCUGCCUUCCAGGCCUGGAGCUCAUUUUACUUUUUUUUUGGCACCGGGGAUCGAACUCGGGUCCUUGCGCUUGCGAGGCAGGCCGUGGCACCACUGAGCUAAAUCCCCAC